rnacentral:lncRNA from 1 species
CUUCUCUUCCUCAUCUCCCUUAUCCCCCUCUUCUUCCUCUUCUUCCCUUUCUUCUUCCUUUCUUCCUCCUUCUUCUUUUUUGGUUCAUUUGGGCAAAUGUUAUUUUCUCCUCUCCUUAUCCAAUCUCCUUUUUCAGAGGCUGAAGUGAAGUCUGCCACAAAACUCUUAAGAAGAUGAGAUCAGAAGAGCCCACUUGUGAACCCACACCACCGGAUAUUCAGGACUUUAACUCGGCUCUGGAUCAAGUGGACCUAGUAGACAUCUACAGAACUCUCUACCCCCAAUCAACAGAAUAUACAUUCUUCUAAGUGCCACAUAGCACUUAUUCUAAAACCAACCACAUAAUUGCAAGUAAAACACUCCUCAGCAAAUGCAAAAGAACUGAAAUCAUAACAAACAGUCUCUCAGACCACAGUACAAUCAAAUUAGAACUCAAGAUUAAGAAACUCACUCAAAACCACACAAUUUCAUGGAAAUUGAACAACCUGCUCCUGAAUGAAUCCUGGGUAAAUAAUGAAAUUAAGGCAGAAAUCAAGAAGUUAUUUGAAACCAAUGAGAACAAAGAGACAACGUACAAGAAUCUAUGGGACACAGUUAAAGCAGUGUUAAGAGGGAAAUUUAUAGCACUAAAUACCCACAUCAGAAAGCUAGAAAUAUCUUAAAUGGACACCCAACAUCACAAUUAAAAGACCUAGAAAGGCAAGAGCAAACUAAUCCAAAAGCUAGCAGAAGACAAGAAAUAACUAAGAUCAGAGAAGAAUUGAAGGAGAUAGAGACAUGAAAAUCCCUCCAAAAAAUCAAAUGAAUCUAGGAGCUGUCUUUUGAAAAAAUUAACAAAAUAGAUAGACCACCAGUAGACUAAUAAAGAAGAGAGAGAAGAAUCAGAUAGACACAAUAAAAAGUGAUAAAGGGGAUAUCACUACUGACCCCACAGAAAUACAAACUACCACCAGAGAAUACUAUAAUGCAAAUAAACUAGAAAAUCUAGAAGAAAUGGAUAAAUUCCUGUAUAUAUACACCCUAACAAGACUAAACCAGGAAGAAGUCAAAUCUCUGAAUAGAGCAAUAAGAAGCUCUGAAAUUGAGGCAGUAAUUAAUAGCCUAUCAACCAAAAAAGUCCAGGGCCAGACAGAUUCACAGCUGAAUUCUACCAGAAAUACAAAGUGGAGCUGGUACCAUUCCCUCUGAAACUAUUUCAAACAAUGAGAAAGGAGAGCCUCCUCCCUAACUCAUUUUAUGAAGCCAGCAUCAUCCUGAUACCAAAACCGGGAAGAGACACAGCAAAGAAAGAAAACUUCAGGCCAAUAUCCCUGAUGAACAUCAAAGCGAAAAUCCUCAAUAAAAUACUGGCAAACUGAAUCCGGCAGCACAUCAAAAAACUUAUCCACCACAAUCAAGUUGGCUUCAUCCCUUGGAUGCAAGUCUGGUUCAACAUACACAAAUCAAUAAAUGUAAUCCAUCACAUGAACAGAACCAAAGACAAAAACUAUAUGAUUAUCUCAAUAGAUGCAGAAAAAGCCUUUGAAAAAAUUCAACAUCCCUUCAUGUUAAAAACUCCCAAUGAACUAGGUAUUGAUGGAACAUAUCUCAAAAUCAUAAGUUGUUUAUGACAAACCCACAACAAAUAUCAUAUUGAAUGGGCAAAAGAUGGAAGCAUUCCCUUUGAAAAAUGGUAAAGACAAGGAUGACCUCUCUCACCACUCCUAUUCAACAUAGUAUUGGAAGUUCUGGCCAAGGCAAUCAGGCAAGAGAAAGAAAUAAAGGUAAUUGAAUAGGAAGAGAGGAAGUCAAGUUGUCUCUGUUUGCAGACGACAUGAUUUUAUAUUUAGAAAACUCCAUCGUCUCAGCGCCAAAACUUCUUGGAACUUAUAAGCAACUUCAGCAAAGUCUCAGGAUACAAAAUCAAUGUGCAAAAAUCACAAGCAUUCCUAUACACCAAUAAUAGACAAACAGAAAGUCAAAUCAUGAAUGAACUCCCAUUCACAAAUCUACAAAGAGAAUAAAAUACCUAGGAAUACAGCUAACAAGGGAUUUGAAGGACCUCUUCAAGGAGAACUACAAACUACUGCUCAAGGAAAUAAGAGAGGACACAAAUGGAAAAACAUUCCAUCCUUAUGGAAUAGGAAAAAUCAAUAUUGUGAAAAUGGCCGUGCUGUCCGAAAGUAAUUUAUAGAUUCAAUGCUGUUCCCAUCAAACUACUAUUGACAUUCUUCACAGAAUUAGUAAAAACUACUUUACAUUUCAUUUGGAAUCAAAGAAGAGCACAUAUAGCCAAGACAAUCCUAAGCAAAAAGAAUAAAGCUGGAAGCAUCACGCUACCUGACUUCAAACUAUACUACAAGGCUACAGUAACCAAAAUAGCAAGGUACUGAUAACAAAAUAGACAUAUAGACCAAUGGAGCAGAACAGAGACCUCAGAAAUAACACCACACAUCUACAACCAUCUGAUCUUCGACAAACCUGACAAAAACAAGCAAUGGGGAAAGGAUCUUAUAUUCAGUAAAUGGUGCUGGGAAAACAAGCUAGCCAUAUGCAGAAAACUGACACUGGACCCCUUCCUUAUACCUCAUACAAAGACUAACUCAAGAUGGAUUAAAGAUUUAAAUGUAAAACCCAAACCCAUAAAACCCCUAGAAGAAAACCUAGGCAAUACCAUUCUGGACAUAGGCAUGGGCAAAGACUUCAUGACAAAAAUGCCAAAAGCAAUUGCAACAAAAGCCAGAAUUGAUAAAUGGGAUCUACUUAAACUAAAGAACUUCUGCGCAGCAAAAUAAACUAUCAUCAGAGUGAACAACCUACAGAAUGGGGGAAAAUUUUUGCAAUCUACCCAUCUGACAAAGGUCUAAUAUCCAGAAUUUACAAGGAACUUAAACAUAUUUACAAGAAAAAAAAACAUCAAAAGUGAACAAAACAUCUGAACAGACACUUCUCAAAAGAAGAUAUUUAUGUGGCUAACAAACAUAUGAAAAAAAGCUCAACAUCACUUAUCAUCAGAGAAAUGCAAAUCAAAACCACAAUGAGAUACCAUCUCACACCAGUCAGAAUGGCAAUUAUUAAAACGUCAGGAAACAAUAGAUGCUGGCGUGGCUGUGGAGAAAUAGGAAUGCUUUUACACUGUUGAUGGGAAUGUAAAUUAGUUCAACCAUUGUGGAAGACAGUAUGACAAUUCCUCAAGGAUCUAGAACCAGAAAUACCAUUUGAUCCAGCAAUCCCAUUACUGGGUAUAUACCCAAAGGAAUAUAAAUCAUUCCAUUAUAAAGACACAUGCACACGUAUGUUUAUUGCACCACUAUUUACAAUAGCAAAGACAUGGAACCAACCCAAAUGCCCAUCAAUGAUAGGCUGGAUAAAGAAAAAGUGGUACAUAUAGACCAUGGAAUACUAUGCAGCCAUAAAAAGGAAUGAGAUCAUGUCCUUUGCAGGGACACAGAUGAAGUUGGAAGCCAUCAACCUCAGCAAACUAACACAGGAAGAGAAAACCAAACACCACAUGUUCUCACUCAUAAGUGGGAGAUGAACAUUGAGAACACAUGGACACAAAGAGGGGAACAACACACACCAGGGCCUGUUGGGGGAGUGGGGGUUGAGGGGAGGGAACUUAGAGGACGGGUCAAUAGGUGCAGCAAACCACCAUGGCACAUGUAUACCUAUGGAACAAACCAGCAUGUUCUGCACAUGUACCCUUUUUUUGUUUGUUUUGUUCUUUUUUAGAAUAAAGAAAAAAUAAAAAUAAUAAAAAAUAGAAAAUAAAUCAUACUGAUGGCCUUUUUGCAGAGCUAACCCCUGAACCCUCUGAUCAUCAUGAAAUGGUGCUAACAUCCUGUUAUGAUUUGAAUUUUUUAUCUCCUCAAAACUUCAUGUUGAAACGUAAUCUCCAAUGCAAUAGUGUUAAGAAGUGGGGUCUUGAGGAGGUGAUUCGGUCAUGGGAGCUCCUUCCUAGUCAAUGGGAUUAAGGCCCUAGGAAAGUGGCUUCUCACAGGAUUUGGCUUUUUUGCCUUUCUAUCCCUUCCACCAUUUGAGGACACAGCCUUCCAGGUGCCAUUGUGGACAAAAAGACAGGAACCUCAUCAGACUCUGAACCUGCUGGCACCUUUAUCCUGGACUUUCCAGCCUCCAGAACUGGAAUUUCUAUUAUUUAUAAAUGUCUAC